rnacentral:misc_RNA from 1 species
CGAAAUGCGAUAAUUAAUGUGAAUUGCAGAAUUCAGUGAAUCAUCGAGUCUUUGAACGCACAUUGCGCCCCCUGGUAUUCCGGGGGGCAUGCCUGUCCGAGCGUCAUUGCUGCCCUCAAGCACGGCUUGUGUGUUGGGCUUCCGUCCCUGGCAACGGGGACGGGCCCAAAAGGCAGUGGCGGCACCAUGUCUGGUCCUCGAGCGUAUGGGGCUUUGUCACCCGCUCCCGUAGGUCCAGCUGGCAGCUAGCCUCGCAACCAAUCUUUUUAACCAGGUUGACCUCGGAUCAGGUAGGGAUACCCGCUGAACUUAAGA